ACUGUCAUGACUACAUCAUCAAGGAGCCCUUAUAGGAGACUCCAGAGAGCUCUCUUGCCCCUUUGCCAUGUGAAGACACAGCAAGAAGACUGCCAUCUAUGAACCAGGUAGUGGGCUCUCAACAGGCAUGGAAUGUGCUGCCACCUUGAUCUUGGACUUCCCAACCGUCAGAACUCUCCAGAGGAAAUUCCCAACGGAAAGAGACAACACAGAAGCAUUUUAAACUCCAACCACAUGGAAAAGAGUGAAGAGGGAGCGUGUCAAAUCUUCAGUGUUGGAGCCUGCUCCCUCGGGAGAAUUCUAAAUAACGGCGGUCAUCCUGUUGAAUAUUAAACUGAGGACUGGAUGGCCGAGAGAACACAAUCCCAAACAUCUGGACACUGUCUACUAACUAGGCCAAAGGCGAAGAAAGGAGAUGAAUCUACUACAGUUGUCCUUGUAUCCCAAGACCUCAGACACCAAGACAGACUGCAGUCCUGGGGCAAGAGGCUCCUCCUUGUGUCCAGGGAUUUCUGCACUGCAGAGCUUCAGGGAAUGUGCAGGGCACGCUGGAGAAGCCCUGGCCCCUCUGACCCUUUGGGCCAACCCUCAUACUUUGCAGGCCUUUGGACCGUACUUUAGAAACCAGCCCCCGACUAAACCUAUAGAGGUCACCAUCUGGUCCUGAGGCUUUCUGAGGUGGAGAAUGAACUUGUUUUGCCCACAGAGGGCCAACGCCUAGAAUUCAGGUGUGGUGCUAUCCCGCAUCACCAGUCAAUCCAUGCGAAUGUGACAAUGACUCACAAUUCUCUGCAGCACAGUUUUCCAAAGUAUGGGCCAUAGGCCCCUUGCACCAACAUCUGUGGGUACUUACUUCCCCUGGAACAUCUUAAAUGUUGUUGGAAUCAUCGCUGUGAAUGUCACAGGAGACCAUUUCUGUGGAUACCUGAUGAGACAGAGUGUUUUGGAAAGGAACAAGGGGAUUCAGCUGACUCCACUGGAGGGGGCUACCGUCCCUAAUUUACUGUUCCAUUCCUAAAGCUUCACCCUCCUGGGCUCAGUGUGAGCAGACAGGAGCACAGGAGGCUAAAACCACCAUGGAGAUUCAAGUUCACAGUCACAGAGCUGCCCCUCCACUGGGCCAGAGGCAAAGAAAAAUCCCAACCUCUUCCUUGUGAUCAUCUGGUUUUAUUGAACCUGGAAAGGAAGUAAAUUCCAAAGGCAGGAAAUGACCCAGGGACCAUAACAACAUGUGAAAAGCCAAGCCGGUGCUUCCGUCACUUUGUUUCAAACUAUUCUAAUCUGUGUCCCGGGAAGCCUAACCCAUUACCAGAUGGAGAUCUGUUUUCAUUCGCCUCUUGGCAUCUGCCACUCCCGGCUGGUGACAUUUGCACGUUUCAGAAGGCAAACCUGUGCCGACAUCUUCAAACUUCCGGAGAGUGCAGCCCCAGGAAAGUCCUUGGGUCUCUGGCUGACAGCACCAGCCAUCUGACGCGCUUCGUCUGCAGCCGAACUGCCGCUGGCCUCCAGCCUAGAACACUAGCACACCGUGUCUGUUCUUGAAGAUUUGCAGAAUCUGAAAUCAAAAUGCCCCAUGUUGCCAGAAAAAGGCAGGCUCCCUCCCUAAUCCCUUCUCACCAGGCUUUCCUAACCCGGUGAGUCAGGAAGGACAAAAAUGUGUCUGAAGAUCUGGGGGUGGCCCUGUUUCUCUUCUUGCUUCUAAAAAUGUCCUCCCCUUUUCCAAUGUGUGUAAUGGUUAGGGAUGCGGUUGUACUUUUUCUUUGGUCCUUCCUCUAUCAGCUCUCACUUGGAGAGACCCUUCAUUUACCACUCAUGAAAUCAGCUCUGCAAAAGCACCAGGCCCUCUGAUGAGGAAUUAGUCACUCACUGUUGCAAAGAAGUUCUGACUUCACUUCUAUCCCCAGGAGCAAGGCAAGAAAAAACUCCUACCUCUUCUCUCAGAAGGAACCAUCAUUCAGCUGCUUUGUUCUGGUCCCUGGGGGCCUGUAUUUUCCUAGGCUUUUAAUUUUUCCUGAACACCGAGCAUUAGCCUUCCUAUGAAGGCUGUGUGCCAGCUGGAUUCUAAACACAGCGAUCGAGGUACCCUGUUAAGAGCUCCCCUCCACCAGGUAAUCAGAAAGUAGAAAGUAGCUAUAGUUGAAUGAAUAAUCCGCCUCUUUCAACACUUUCAAAUGUUAAACAGAUUGAAGUAUAAAGAAUCCAAUAUAUUUGUUGACGUCUGGUCCGCAGAAAAGCUCCAGCAAGAAAGAAGUGGGAAGUCCCACAUCAAGCUGGGGAAAUGGGAACAGCGGUGGAGGGCUGUGAGCAAAACCACUCCAGGCCACUGUCUACAAUUAUGUUCUGUUUGUUAGGAAAGACGCUUUAAAAAGUAUGUUCUGCCCAGCCAUGGUGGCUCAUUGGUUGAGUGUGGACCUAUGAACCAGGAAGUCACGGUUUGAUUCCCCCUUGGAGUACACGUGCCUGGGUUUUGGGCUCCAUCCUCAAUGUGGGGUGUGCAGGAGGCAGCCAGUCAAUGAUUCUCUCAUCAUUGAUGUUUCUAUCUCUCGUUCCCUCUCCUUUCCUCUCUCUGAAAUCAAUAAAAACAUAUUUUUAAAAAACGUUCUGAUAAGCUUGGAUUUCUCCAUGGAAAGGGAAUAUAGUCUCCAUUACAAGAGAGCAGGUUGAUAUCAGAGGCAGGUUGUAUCCACUGUGGGUCGCUGGCAGUAGAUAGAAGAUAAAAGAAGCUAAGAGAUCUUCAUAAAAAGGGAGGGGAGAGAGAGAGUGAGCGAGCCUUUUUUGUUAUUGCUGGGAAGAGAUGGUCUUGUAGAAGAUAUAAGAGAUGUAUGUGUCUGUCUCUCCCCUUUGCUCUGCCUAUGGAAAAUGAGCCAGGAAAAAGCUAGAAACAGGAGACAGAGGGAGGCCGUCUUCCCAACUGUUGACAGCAGCCAAACAGGAUAAAUAGUUCAUAUGUUGAUGAUCUUGACAACAGUAAUCAUGAAGAGAAGGUAUUGACCCAGAUGAAAGAAAUAGGCUUUUAAUUUCAAGCUAUGCUUAAGCCCCAACGUGCUCCUAUCGGAGCCACUUACAUCAUCCAAGGGACUUUUGACUACAAUGACAGGAAUUUAGGGUAAAUGAAAUCAUACAACUUUUUUUUUUUUUUUAAAGAUUUCCUUCCAUAACUUUUUUUUUAAAAUAUAUUUUUAUUGAUUUUU